rnacentral:rRNA from 1 species
GGGGAAUAUUGGACAAUGGGCGCAAGCCUGAUCCAGCCAUGCCGCGUGAGUGAUGAAGGCCUUAGGGUUGUAAAGCUCUUUCGGCGGGGAAGAUAAUGACGGUACCCGCAGAAGAAGCCCCGGCUAACUUCGUGCCAGCAGCCGCGGUAAUACGAAGGGGGCUAGCGUUGCUCGGAAUCACUGGGCGUAAAGCGCACGUAGGCGGCUUACUAAGUCAGGGGUGAAAUCCUGGAGCUCAACUCCAGAACUGCCUUUGAUACUGGUGAGCUUGAGUUCGGGAGAGGUGAGUGGAACUGCGAGUGUAGAGGUGAAAUUCGUAGAUAUUCGCAAGAACACCAGUGGCGAAGGCGGCUCACUGGCCCGAUACUGACGCUGAGGUGCGAAAGCGUGGGGAGCAAACA